rnacentral:rRNA from 1 species
GACGAACCGUGCGAACGUUGUUCGGAAUCACUGGGCUUAAAGGGCGCGUAGGCGGGCCAUCAAGUCAGAGGUGAAAUCCCCCGGCUCAACCGGGGAACUGCCUUUGAUACUGGCGGUCUGGAGUAAGGUAGGGGCAUGCGGAACUGAUGGUGGAGCGGUGAAAUGUGUUGAUAUCAUCAGGAACACCGGUGGCGAAAGCGGCGUCACUGGCCGGAAUCUGACACUGAGGUGCGAAAGCUAAGGGGUAGCAAACGGG